UACAGAGGUCUCAAGCGUUGUUCGGAUUCAUUGGGCGUAAAGGGUGCGUAGGCGGCGCCGUAAGUCAGGUGUGAAAUUUCGGAGCUCAACUCCGAAACUGCAUUUGAUACUGCGGUGCUUGAGGACUGGAGAGGAGACUGGAAUUCACGGUGUAGCAGUGAAAUGCGUAGAUAUCGUGAGGAAGACCAGUGGCGAAGGCGGGUCUCUGGACAGUUCCUGACACUGAGGCACGAAGGCCAGGGGAGCAAACGGG
rnacentral:rRNA from 1 species